AUUGAACGCUGGCGGCAGGCCUAACACAUGCAAGUCGAACGAGUGGCGGACGGGUGAGUAAUGUCUGGGAAACUGCCUGCUGGAGGGGGAUAACUACUGGAAAGGGUAGCUAAUACCGCAUACCAUCGGAGGUGCCCAGAUGGGAUUAGCUAGUAGGUGGGGUAAAGUCUCACCUAGGCGAGGAUCCCUAGCUGGUCUGAGAGGAUGACCAGCCACACUGGAACGUGGACACUGUCCAGACUCCUACGGUAGGCAGCAGUGUGGAAUAUUGCACAAUGGGCGCAAGCCGGAUGCAGCCAUGCCGCGUGUAUGAAGAAGGCCUUCGGGUUGGAACGUACUUUCAGCGGGGAGGCGUUACCCGCCGAAGAAGCACCGGCUAACUCCGUGCCAGCCGCCGCGGUAAUUC
rnacentral:rRNA from 1 species